CCUACGGGAGACAGCAGUGAGGAAUAUUGGUCAAUGGGCGAGAGCCUGACCCAGCCAAGUCGCGUGAAGGAUGAAGGAUCUAUGGUUUGUAACCUUCUUUUAUAUGGGCGUAAAGUGAGGAACGUGUUCCUUUUUGUAUGUCCCAUAUGAUUAAGCAUCGGCUAACGCCGUGCCAGCAGCGGCGGUAAUACGGAGGUUGCGAGCGUUAUCCGGAUUUAUUGGGUUUAAAGGGUGCGUAGGUGGUUAAUUAAGCCAGCGGUGAAAGUUUGUGGCUCAACCAUAAAAUUGCCGUUGAAACUGGUUGACUUGAGUAAAGUUGAGGUAGGCGGAAUGCGUGGUGUAGCGGUGAAAUGCAUAGAUAUCACGCAGAACACCGAUUGCGAAGGCAGCUUACUAAACUAUAACUGACACUGAAGCACGAAAGCAUGGGGAUCAAACAGGAUUAGAUACCCUAGUAGUC
rnacentral:rRNA from 1 species